CCCCCCUCUCCCUCCCUGCCCUCAGAGAAGGGAGACACUGGGGAGAUCACAGCCGGAAGCUGGAGGGGCAUCAAGAUCGCUCCUGGACAGGGAGUGCAGACAGAGAGAUGGACCAUGAUCGAUGGCAAGGCGGAGAGCGGAAUGUUCCUAGCCAGGCCGGGCCCAGCCACGUAAUGAACAGAGGAGAAAUACCAGGGCGUGGAGAAUUUGUACAAGGCGGAUCGCAGAACCCAGUUGCGCAGGCACCCAGCAUGCCAGGCGGUUUUGCAAGCCAGGAUAGAACAACCUCGCCGGGCGACCCACGUUUCGCUCGCCGUUAUUGAAGAUUUUGUUUUUCUCCUUUUCCGUCACAACGCUGUGGCCCACGCUGUGGAAUUUUGCUCCCCUGGUUAUACGGCCUUUGAACUGUUGUUGCUGAAACAGAAUUCCCACCACAGUAGCUUGCAGAUGUU